GUAAAUUUGACCUCGCCACCCAUUUUAUUCGCGCUACCGAAAGACGACCAGAGAUCUUAUCUAUUAAACACAAAGUUCACAGAUGGGUGCCAUGAAAAGGACAGGAUCCAUGAACGAACCAAUCUGGUUUGGUGGUAAUGAGAUAAUAAGCAAACAGAGUGAGGAGCAGUUCAGAGUACGGAGGAUUUUAGAGAUUCAGUCAAUUUCACCGAUCAACACCAAAAUCAAAAUACUCAAGAAGAUGUGGGACAGCCGCCUUUGGAAAGCAAAGAAGAAUCUUACAGAAGCAACGCAAAAGCAAUUCCCUGCGACAAACGAAGGCAACGGUGACCGACAGCCUUAUCUGAAAACCAUCUUCACAACAUUAGUAGAUUUCUUUAAUCACUUAUCAAUUAGGCAAGAAAAUGAUCAAUAGAUUGGAUUUGUAACUAGUCGUGGCUUAGCAAAGUGUCAAUUGUUUGAUAACAGCUCUACUUUAAAGUGGUUUUGUAAAAAUCCCAUUUAUUUACCACUGUUUUUUAUUAAAUUGGUUUUAGAAAAAGAAAUGUACCAGAAGGAACCUGACAGGGAAUAUUGACAAUAAUGGUAGUUUUGUUUUAUUCCUUUACAUGAAAUAGAAAAAGCCAGGAUAUGGUGCAGAAUUAAUUGACUAAUUCUGUAUUCUUUUUUUGUUUGGAAAGCUGUUAUAAGAGUUUGUGUGAUUUGGUAGUUUCUUCAAUGGUAUUCUAAAUAACUUCAAAUAACCCUGAAGAGCUGCAGGAAUUUGAUGUGAUGUAACUACAGCAGCUUUGUAUUAUCAAAUACUGUUUGUUACUCUACUUAUAAUCUUGUGGUGAAAAUGUGCAGAACAAAAUGGCAUCUGUGGUGCUCUAGUUUUAAUUAGUCACUUCUUCUGAUGAAACUCUCUGCCAGAAAGGAAAUACGUAUGUGUAUAUUCGACACUUCAUUACAAAAGCCCUGAAAAUGUAAAACCUUGCGAUCCAUUUGUUUUAAGUCUCAUCUUAAUUGUUUCCUCUUCUGUGUUAACGACUUUUUAAAAGGCGAUAAAAAGGCUCUUUGUAUUUUCCUUUACUUAAAAAAAAAAAUCAUCUAUGAAAUAUAUGUGCCAAAAAACACAUUUUGCCAAGUGAAAGUAAAAGUUGUGGGUCAAAUAAUUUACUUUUACUUGUUUUUUGCCACGAUCAUCUAGCUUUAGUAAAAAAAACAUGUUUAAUACAUUCUAAUACAAGAUUUUGAGUGUAAACUAUAAAGAAAUUAAGAAAAGUGUGUGUGUUCCUUUAAGGUAUGAGCAUUUUUCUUUUUAUCUA